UACGAAGGUCCCAAGCGUUAUCCGGAUUUAUUGGGUUUAAAGGGUGCGUAGGCGGACUAUUAAGUCAGUGGUGAAAGCCCCAAGCUUAACUUGGGAACUGCCAUUGAUACUGAUGGUCUUGAGUACAUUUGAGGUGGGCGGAAUGUGUCAUGUAGCGGUAAAAUGCUUAGAUAUGACACAGAACACCGAUUGCGAAGGCAGCUCACUAAACUGUAACUGACGCUGAGGCACGAAAGCGUGGGGAGCAAACAGG
rnacentral:rRNA from 1 species